GAGCGGCAGGGUGCAGCAAUGCAUUCGAGAGCGGCGGACUGGUGAGUAACGCGUGGGUGACCUGCCUUGAGGAUGGGGAUAGCCGUUAGAAAUAGCGGGUAAUACCGAAUACGUUCGCGCCGUCGAGGCGGCGCGAGGAAAGGGGCUCCGGCCCCGCCUUGAGAUGGGCCCGCGUCCCAUUAGCUAGUUGGGGGUGUAACGGACCACCAAGGCGAAGAUGGGUAGCCGGCCUGAGAGGGUGAACGGCCACACUGGGACUGAGAUACGGCCCAGACUCCUACGGGAGGCAGCAGCUAAGAAUAUUCCGCAAUGGACGAAAGUCUGACGGAGCGACGCCGCGUGGAUGACGAAGGCCGAAAGGUUGUAAAAUCCUUUUGCGGACGAAGAAUAAGCCUGGGAGGGAAUGCCCGGGUGAUGACGUUAGUCCGAGAAGAAGCCCCGG
rnacentral:rRNA from 1 species